rnacentral:rRNA from 1 species
UACGUAGGGUGCAAGCGUUGUCCGGAAUUAUUGGGCGUAAAGAGCUCGUAGGCGGUCUGUUGCGUCGGCUGUGAAAACCCGCGGCUUAACCGCGGGCUUGCAGUUGAUACGGGCAGGCUAGAGUUCGGUAGGGGAGACUGGAAUUCCUGGUGUAGCGGUGAAAUGCGCAGAUAUUGGGAGGAACACCAGUGGCGAAGGCGGCUCACUGGACCGGAACUGACGCUGAGGCGCGAAAGCGUGGGGAGCAAACAGG